GUAUUUCUUUUACAGAUUUAGAUGUUAACUUGGAAGAAAUGAGUUUUACAAAAUCUACUCGAAGGGAAGGGGAAAGCGAAAGGGAAAAAGAGAUAUAUUAUUCAUCCACCCACAUAUACAAGCGAAGAACCUGAGCUCUAACCCGAAACACUCGGACGUCCGACAUCGUAUCGUAUAGUGUCGUUAAUCGGAAGCCUCCUUCGAUGACGGAACCAAAUGCCUCCACAAGUAGCGGCCGCUGGCCAUAUCGACCACCAUCCAGAACCCCGAUGAGA
rnacentral:misc_RNA from 1 species